rnacentral:rRNA from 1 species
UGCGGAGGGUGCAAGCGUUGCUCGGAAUUAUUGGGCGUAAAGCGUGCGCAGGCGGUUAUUUAAGUCAGGUGUGAAAGCCCUGGGCUUAACCUAGGAAUUGCGCUUGAGACUGGAUAGCUUGGAGUGCGGCAGAGGGAGGUGGAAUUCCACGUGUAGCAGUGAAAUGCGUAGAGAUGUGGAGGAACACCGAUGGCGAAGGCAGCCUCCUGGGCCAGCACUGACGCUCAUGCACGAAAGCGUGGGGAGCAAACAGG